GACAGAGGGGGCAAGCGUUGCUCGGAAUUAUUGGGCGUAAAGAGCUCGUAGGCGGCUUGUCACGUCGGGUGUGAAAGACCGGGGCUUAACCCCGGUUCUGCAUUCGAUACGGGCUAGCUAGAGUGUGGUAGGGGAGAUCGGAAUUCCUGGUGUAGCGGUGAAAUGCGCAGAUAUCAGGAGGAACACCGGUGGCGAAGGCGGAUCUCUGGGCCAUUACUGACGCUGAGGAGCGAAAGCGUGGGGAGCGAACAGG
rnacentral:rRNA from 1 species